AUGCUGUGAAGCUUUAGAGGAGAAACUUGUGAGAUUACUGGAGUCUUGGGAGUAAAAUACAUGAUACCAGAUUAGAAGAUCAUGCCUUAAUGCCCACAUUGAUCCAGCCAAAGAGGAUUGUCGGAAGAAAAAGCCUUGUUGAAAAGCUUUGAGAGGAACCAGAAUCAGCCAAUCCUUCUCUGUGCUGUUCCUGAAGUUCUGUUCCUGACUGAAUUGCAGUGAGAAAGGUACAGUACACAAUUUUUUUAAUGUCAAACGUGAUGAGAAACAAGUAGGCUAAUGUUAAUAGUCAGAAAAAUUCUUCAGUA
ensembl:lncRNA